rnacentral:lncRNA from 1 species
GGAGAGGCUGUGGCCACAUUUGGUGGGACUGCCAGCGCCUCGGCUUCUUUAGCGUGGGCGGGAGUCGGGGACAAAGAACAGUCUGGAAUUCCAAGUGGCGGGUUUCACAGCUGUGCUGUGUCGGAGCUCUCCAGUCCACACCUUGACCCCAGGCUUCCAGGGUCGGUCAGGACGCUUCCAGGGUCGGUCAGGACGCUUCCAGGGGUCGGUCAGGACGCUUCCAGGGGUGGUCAGGACGCUUCCAGGGGUGGUCAGGACGCUUCCAGGGUCGGUCAGGACGCUUCCAGGGGUGGUCAGGACGCUUCCAGGGUCGGUCAGGACGCUUCCAGGGGUGGUCAGGACGCUUCCAGGGGUCGGUCAGGACGCUUCCAGGGUUGGUCAGGACGCUUCCAGGGGUGGUCAGGACGCUUCCAGGGUCAGUCAGGAUGCUUCCAGGGGUGGUCAGGACGCUUCCAGGGGUCAGUCAGGACGCUUCCAGGGUCGUCAGGAUGCUUCCAGGGGUGGUCAGGACGCUUCCAGGGUCGGUCAGGACGCUUCCAGGGUCGGUCAGGACGCUUCCAGGGUCGGUCAGGACGCUUCCAGGGUCGUCAGGAUGCUUCCAGGGGUGGUCAGGACGCUUCCAGGGGUGGUCAGGACGCUUCCAGGGGUGGUCAGGACGCUUCCGGGGUGGUCAGGACGCUUCCAGGGUUGGUCAGGAUGCUUCCAGGGUCGGUCAGGACGCUUCCUGUUGCAGAAGGAAGAGGAAACGGAAAGCUGAGACAGCAUGGUCCCGGAGAGCAUGCCCUCGCACGGGGCACCGGAAGAAGUGCCCUGGGGGGGACCUCCAGGCUGGUGGUGCCAGGGCUGCACCCUCGGCUCGGCCCUUGUGGCUCGUGUCAGCCUGAGAGCCCUGGAAAGAGGGGCCUGUGUUUCCCCAGUGUCCCUGGGAGGGCGAGGAGGCCUUUGCCAGGACCCUCCCCCCAGGCCCCCGCUCACUGCCCACGGUUGCAUCUUGUGGUCUUGGCUGCGGCAUGGCGGGCUGCGUGGAAGAAACAGCGGGAUUCAGCGAGGAGGGAGGCUGCUGGGGCCGGACCCCGUGCACAGGUGGUCAGCGUGCUGCCCUUGGGGCACCCUGGGAAAAUGAAGUCACGGCAGCUCUGGGUGGCCUUGACUUGGCUGUCGGCAUCAGGGCUUCCUGUAACAGCUGUAAUGAAGACGUUGUACUGA